CUGGCCAGAGCCGCGCCGCCUACCGGAUCCACAAAUUCCACAAAUUCACACCACAGAUUGCUAUGUACAUACUUUUAAGAGUUGUUCUGACAUUGAGUUUUUUUUAAUUUAGUUCCCCUCUCAAAUUAUACCCACCCUGUCUUUCCAUAAACAGUUUUUGUAUAUUUCUUGGAAGUAAAUUAUUUCUUGCUUUGUACAUGAUUUGCGUAGUCUUAAAUUUAACCAGAUCAGUGAACUUCAGUGUAUGUGACUUUAAGAAUAAUAAAUUGGUAUGUUCAAGAUAUCCAACGUUAUUGAUAAUUCUUAUUGCUCUUUUUUGUAAUGUGCAUAACGGCUGUAGGUUGGUUUUUGUAGGUGUUACCCCAAAUCUCCACACAGUAACUCAGAUAUGGCAAUAUGAGUAUUAUUCUGAGUUCUGACUGCAUUGUUGAUGGCAAAGAUCCUACAGCGGAGCUUGCGGUAGGAUCUAUAGUUGAUGGUGCCAAGUUGUAAUUUGACUGAAGAUCCUGUUCCGUGCUCAACCAGGCAGCUCAGUCAACACCAACAAUGUAUUCAGAGCUCCUGCACAGUUUUUAAUUUUUUGUAUUUUUAAAAUUAGCAUCAAAGUUUAUAUUUGAAACUUCUAAAAAAAAGAUUUGGCCUCUAGCUUCACAAUCUGGAAUCUCAACACUGAAAUAUUGCAGACAUUACUGCAAAAUACCAACAGUACCCAGUUUGAACAAGGGUCCCGACCCAAAACAUUCUAUGUUCGUUCCAUCCCUAGACCUGAUGAGUUCCUCCAGCACAUUGCCAUUGAGUCAUACAGCGUAGAAUCAGGCCCUUCGGCCCAACUCGUCCAUGCCCACCAACAUGCCCCAUCUACACUAGUCGGAUCUGCCUGCAUUUGGCCCAUAUCCCUCUAAACAUAUGUGUAGGGAGGAAAUGCAGUUGCUCUAAAUUUAUAGUAUCCAUAUACCUGUCUGAAUGUUUCUUAAAUGCUGUGAUAGUUCCUGCCUCAACUACCUCCUCCAACAGCUCAAUCCAUAUGUGCCUUUUUGCAAUACUGCACACAAAAAUGUGACAAAUGGGGUAAAAUUUCAAAUUCCUUCGAAAAAGUUGACAAGCACUUUAUUGGGUUCAUGACUAACAUAGUACCUGUAUCAACAAAUAUAAGAAAAGAUAGCAAGUUUCUUAAAAUGGCAUCAGAACACACAAAUACAUGUUGUGUAAUGGUUGUUGGCACGGUUACACAUAUUUGGUUGGCACAGUAAGUAUACGUAUUUCUUAUUCCUUUCUAUGUUUAUGAAUACCACAUGGAACAAUAAAAUUGCAAAUACCAUUCCCUCUUCAUUUACCUGAUCAUGUAGUAGAAUACUGCAUCCAUCUAUGUGGACACCACAAUACGCGUUACACAUCAUACACACAAAGAUGGCAUUGUGGACUGCAGGAGAUGAAAGGCACCAUAACCAUUGUGAGGAUAUCAUCCAUUAAACUACACGAUGUUCCGUUUGUGGAAACACUGGCUCAAAAGUGAGGUUUUGCGAAGGAACACUCUCCACUUGCCAGCGUGCAUGCAGCUCCAACAACAUCCAAGUAGGCCAACACCAUCUAGGACAAAGCAAACAGCGGGGGUAGCACUCUGUGUACUACCCUAAACAUUCAUUCUGUGCACGCCCAGCCAGCUCUACAAGGUUGAAGUACUCACCAUCUGCAAAACGCACAGCCGUUAUCACCCUGGCUACCCCAACAUUCAAUUCAAUUCAAUUCAACUUUAAUGUCAUCGCACAAAUACAAGUAUGAGUACAACGAAAUGCAGUUUUGCGUCAGUCCGUAGUAGUUGUGCAUAAAGAAAUAAAAAAAAUAGAAAGAGAGAAGAUACAGAAUAAUUAAAAAAUGCAGAAUAAUUAAACAAUGGGGACGGAGGGACCGGAGAAAUCUAUCGGCGGGACUCCGAGUUCAGCAAUGUGAUUGUAUUGUUGUAGAAGCAGUUCCUCAUCUCUGAACCCUCAACCUCCACCCCAAAGAAGGACAAGGAAGAUAGAAUAUAGUGACCUUUUGAUGGGACAAUAUUUAUUCUUCAGUAAAUGUUAUUAAAAUAGGCACCCGUUGGAGAUUGCAAUGUGCAAAUCAUUUGUCAAAUUUCUUAUUUUACAACAGUGACGACAUAACAAAUGUCAUUUUUUGUUAAUGUUAACUUCAGUGGCAAGGUUCAUAAGUGCAGCGUAUUCUGCAGAGGCAACCUAAAUUUCUCUGCUCAAGAUACCGGAGAAUUGCAAUCAUACCUUCUCUCAGAGAUAAGUAUUCUGCCAAUUAAACCACAUUUUCCAGUUAGAAUGGCACUAUAUCUUUCAAAAGUCUUAGAUUCGGCUUUUGAAAAAAAAAACCCCUAACCAAAAAAAAUAUAUAACCGGUGCUUCAUAUCUGAUUGUGUACUUUCCAUGAUGGAAAGUCUGAUAAAAACCUCUCCAUAAUCACACCGAGUUAUUUGCUUUAAAUUAUAAUUUCGGCUUCCCAAGCCAUUACCUCCGCAUGUUUAAUUAGUAAAUUUUGGAGUUCAUUUUAUACCACAAACAUUAAAAUUUCACACAGAUGCAACUGAAUUUCAAAAGGAAGAGGACUGUCUGAACGUUAUUGCCUUCCAUCACAGCGAUCAUUGUGGUGGUUGUUUAUGUUAAGUUCUCUCGUGCUUUUAAUUGUGUUUAAUUGUAUGGCUGCACGCAAACCCAAAUAGCUCUGUGCCUUAUUGUGACAAUAAAUG